CCCAUUACAAGUCUGUAUCGCAGUGCGCAUGCGCAGCACCCACAAUUCAUUUCUUCCUCGUGUCUCACCCACAGCAAUCCCUCACCCUGGUCUUUCUCCUCUCUCCUGUGGAAGAGUAAGGUUAGAAGUGUGUUUGGCUGAAGCACCUGGGCAGGAAAAACAACCUCAGCAGAAGCCGAAAUGGAAAUGUUAAGCUUCAAAAAUGGAGCACCGGUCAUGUUCGUGGUACUCGGACUGGACCCCCAGCCACCUGGCUGAGCUGAUGAGCUCUGCUGAAACUGUCAAGGUUAGAGGAGUGUCAGGUUAAAGCAUCUGCUUAGGAAAUGGAGAGAAAAAAAUCUCAGCAGGAGCUGAAUGGGAAUGCUUGAGCUGAGAACAUAAGAUGUGCCUUCUUCAGGUUUCCAGCAGGUGCUUCAGAUGUCUCCUGAAAAUCCAGACAUACAUCAACAGAUAUGUCUACGUUCAGCAUGAACACCUGUUUAAUCUGCACUGACAUUUAAAUUUGGUUGUCUUCGAACUAGUCUUGACUGCAGUGUCUUCAUUGUCACUUUUGAAAUAAGUCCUAAAGAGAGAUGGGCAAAGUAUGCAAAUACCCUGAGAUUCCCCAGUGCAAAUAUUACUCAAGUAAAAGAAGUCCUAUUUACUUGUGUACUUCGGUAAAAGUACACAAAUACCAUUACUACAUAGUUUGUAUAAUCUCUCUCUUUCUCUCGGUCACUUCUGUUCAAUGUAAGAGUGUUUAUUAACUUACAGUCCAGUUUUUGGGCCAUGUUAUUCGUCCAACUUUAAAUGAUGACUAAAGCACUUUUUCUUGGGUCUUUGGGUUAAUCAAAAAAAAAAAAGAUUAACCUAGUAACCUGUGUAAGGAUAUAUCCAGUGACAAAACACCUUGUUUGAAUAAAAGUCUUUGUAAUGAAGUUGUA